UCGAGAAUCUUCGGCAAUGGGCGCAAGCCUGACCGAGCGACGCCGCGUGCGGGAUGAAGGUCUUCGGAUUGUAAACCGCUGUCGGAGGGGAUGAAGUGUAGGAGAGCAAUCUCUCUUAUUUGACAGAGCCUCGGAGGAAGCACGGGCUAAGUUCGUGCCAGCAGCCGCGGUAAUACGAACUGUGCAAACGUUAUUCGGAAUCACUGGGCUUAAAGGGUGCGUAGGCGGUCGCACAAGUCAGGUGUGAAAUCCCCCGGCUCAACCGGGGAAUAGCGCUUGAAACUAGGUGACUUGAGUGAGGUAAGGGUACGCGGAACUUCUGGUGGAGCGGUGAAAUGUGUAGAUAUCAGAAGGAACGCCGGUGGCGAAAGCGGCGUACUGGGCCUUGUCUGACGCUGAGGCACGAAAGCUAGGGAAGUGAACGGGAUUAGAUACCCCGGUAAUCCUAGCCGUAAACACUGAGC
rnacentral:rRNA from 1 species